UAGAGUUUGAUCAUGGCUCAGGACGAACGCUGGCGGCGUGCCUAAUACAUGCAAGUCGAGCGGACAGAAGGGAGCUUGCUCCCGGAUGUUAGCGGCGGACGGGUGAGUAACACGUGGGUAACCUGCCUGUAAGACUGGGAUAACUCCGGGAAACCGGAGCUAAUACCGGAUAGUUCCUUGAACCGCAUGGUUCAAGGAUGAAAGACGGUUUCGGCUGUCACUUACAGAUGGACCCGCGGCGCAUUAGCUAGUUGGUGAGGUAACGGCUCACCAAGGCGACGAUGCGUAGCCGACCUGAGAGGGUGAUCGGCCACACUGGGACUGAGACACGGCCCAGACUCCUACGGGAGGCAGCAGUAGGGAAUCUUCCGCAAUGGACGAAAGUCUGACGGAGCAACGCCGCGUGAGUGAUGAAGGUUUUCGGAUCGUAAAGCUCUGUUGUUAGGGAAGAACAAGUGCAAGAGUAACUGCUUGCACCUUGACGGUACCUAACCAGAAAGCCACGGCUAACUACGUGCCAGCAGCCGCGGUAAUACGUAGGUGGCAAGCGUUGUCCGGAAUUAUUGGGCGUAAAGGGCUCGCAGGCGGUUUCUUAAGUCUGAUGUGAAAGCCCCCGGCUCAACCGGGGAGGGUCAUUGGAAACUGGGAAACUUGAGUGCAGAAGAGGAGAGUGGAAUUCCACGUGUAGCGGUGAAAUGCGUAGAGAUGUGGAGGAACACCAGUGGCGAAGGCGACUCUCUGGUCUGUAACUGACGCUGAGGAGCGAAAGCGUGGGGAGCGAACAGGAUUAGAUACCCUGGUAGUCCACGCCGUAAACGAUGAGUGCUAAGUGUUAGGGGGUUUCCGCCCCUUAGUGCUGCAGCUAACGCAUAAGCACUCCGCCU
rnacentral:rRNA from 1 species